AUACGUAGGUGCCAAGCGUUAUCCGGAUUUACUGGGCGUAAAGGGCGUGUAGGCGGUCUUGCAAGUCAGAAGUGAAAUUCCUGAGCUCAACUCGGGCGCUGCUUCUGAAACUGCAGGACUUGAGUGCUGGAGGGGAUAGCGGAAUUCCUAGUGGAGCGGUAAAAUGCGCAGAUAUUAGGAAGAACACCGGUGGCGAAGGCGGCUAUCUGGACAGUAACUGACGCUGAGUCGCGAAAGCGUGGGGAGCAAACAGGAUUAGAUACCCUGGUAGUCCACGCUGUAAACGAUGAUUACUAGGUGUGGGGGGACUGACCCCUUCCGCGCCGCAGUUAACACAAUAAGUAAUCCACCUGGGGAGUACGGCCGCAAGGUUGAAACUUAAAGGAAUUGACGGGG
rnacentral:rRNA from 1 species